rnacentral:rRNA from 1 species
UACGUAGGGGGCUAGCGUUGUCCGGAAUCAUUGGGCGUAAAGCGCGUGUAGGCGGCCCGAUAAGUCCGCUGUGAAAGCCCAGGGCUCAACCCUGGGAUGCCGGUGGAUACAGUCGGGCUCGAGUCCGGAAGAGGCGAGUGGAAUUCCUGGUGUAGCGGUAAAUGCGCAGAUAUCAGGAGGAACACCAAUGGCGAAGGCAGCUCGCUGGGACGUGACUGACGCUGAGACGCGAAAGCGUGGGGAGCAAACAGG